CAAAUAUUAGUUGAAGAGUAGGAGGAGAUGGUGCAAAAUUUGGACUAGAGAGAAAUCGAGUUUAUGAGGCUUCAAAGAAGUAAAGUUGGAGUUGAUAAUUUUGAGAAAUUAAUAGUAAUUGACAAAUGUGCUUUUGGUGAGGUAAGGGUAUCUCAUGCUAAAGGCACAGGAGAUGUUUUGGCCAUGAAGAAGUCAAAGAAAUAAAAAAUGCUUAGCCAAGGAUAGGACCUUGACAAAAGGCUAAUAGAAAACAUCUUCGCUGCUGCUUGGUUUCUUCUUUCUUGGUUUGAUCUUUCCUCUGC